rnacentral:lncRNA from 1 species
UUUUCCACUCCUUCUUUAGCCUCCCUAGGAGAUGCCCGGUGACUUCUAUUUUCAGAAGAUAGAUAUUUAAGUCACAAUAUUCUGGACUCUGGCUUAGUUAGACCAACCGUCUCUUGAUUGUCUGUGGAAACUGAAUCAGGAACACCCCAGAGAGCUGGCUCUGGAUGUAAUUCACAGCUUCAUUUAAUUAUUAUCAUCAAAGUUAAUGAAGGCCAUAAACUGUUUCAUAACAUACCAAUGGGAAGUGUGAUUGGAGGGAAAGCUGGACACCUCACCAUAAAACUGGCACAGCAGAAAAGGCUCGACUAAACAAAAUCUUCUUAUGAAGAAAAAGACAAUGAAACCAUGUUCAGUUUAGUGAACCUUUCACACUUGGCAACAUGAAUGUUAAGUCAAAAGAACAAUGGAGCUAUGAGUAAAGAGAGCUUUCGGUUAGCUAUUUAGUUAUAACUUUAUCUCACCCACUUCUAAAAAAGCGUUGAGGCUACUUGAAGUAAAGUCCUGUAGACGAGAGAGCAUAACAUUAAAAGAUAGAAAGAAAACCUAGAAGAUGGAAGAGAAAUAAUUGCACUAGAAACCUGGCCAAUAUCAUGAACAGGCUCCAUAUAGGGACUCCUAUAUAUAGAUCGCUGUGUGUGUGAAUAAUACGUUCAAUAAAUGUAUUAUCUGAACUGCUGUUAAAGUUCUACUCUUGGAUUCCUGAAAUA